rnacentral:rRNA from 1 species
CCCUUAGAUGUUCUGGGCCGCACGCGCGCUACACUGAUCGAUUCAACGAGUUUUGAAAUAAUUUUUAUAAUUUUUCAUAUCCUUUGUCGGAAGGCAUGGGUAAUCUUUUAAAUGUCGAUCGUGAUGGGGCUAGAUUCUUGCAAUUAUUAAUCUCCAACGAGGAAUUCCUAGUAAACGCAAGUCAUCAGCUUGCAUUGAUUACGUCCCUGCCCUUUGUACACACCGCCCGUCGCACCUACCGAUUGAAUGGUCCGGUGAGGCUUUGGGAUCUGAGCGGAAAGAGCGUUUCGCUGUUUCUGCUCGGAAAACUCAGUCGAACCUUAUCAUUUAGAGGAAGGAGAAGUCGUAACA